rnacentral:tRNA from 1 species
AGGGACUUAGGAUAGAAACAGUCCAAGAGCCUUCAAAGCCCAAGGUGGGGGUGAAACUCUCCCAGCCCCUG